GACGAUCGCUGGCGGCACGCCCAACACAUGCAAGUCGAGCGAGUAUAUCCCGUCGGGGCGAAGCUAGCGGCGGACUGGUGAGUAACACGUGGGCAAACUGCCUCAUAGAUGGGAAUAUCCUUCCGAAAGGAAGAUUAAUACAGCAUAAGAUCGUAGUACCGACUGGUAUAGCACGUAAAGGAGCAGUCCGCUAUGAGAUGGGCCCGCGGGGCAUUAGCUAGUUGGGGAGGUAACUACUCAACAAGGCUACGAUGCGUAGCCCACCUGGGAGGGUGAUCGGCCACAUUGGGACUGAGACACGGCCCAGACUCUGACGGGAGGCAGCAGUGGUGAAUAUUUCACAAUGGGGGAAACCCUGAUGCAGCAAUGCCGCGUGAGUAAUGACGGCCUCCGGGUUGUAAAGCUCUGUCUUCGUGGACGAUAAUGACGGUACCCGAGGAGGAAGCCACGGUUAACUACGUGCCAGCAGCCGCCGUAA
rnacentral:rRNA from 1 species